rnacentral:rRNA from 1 species
CAGCCGCCACGGUAACACGUAGGGGGCAAGCGUUGUCCGGAAUCAUUGGGCGUAAAGCGCGCGCAGGCGGUUUUUUAAGUCUGGUGUCUAAGUGCGGGGCUCAACCCCGUGACGCACUGGAAACUGGGAGACUUGAGUGCAGAAGAGGAGAGCGGAAUUCCACGUGUAGCGGUGAAAUGCGUAGAGAUGUGGAGGAACACCAGUGGCGAAGGCGGCUCUCCGGACUGUAACUGACGCUGAGGCGCGGAAGCGUGGGGAGCAAACAGGAUUAGAUACCCCAGUAGUCCCUGUCUCUUAUACA